UAUCCAUGUUGCGGGCAUUUCCUAAGGAGAUUUUUGUACCUCUCCCAACAUUCAAAUAAUUAUUCAUCCAUUUGUUGAGAAAAAGCAAUAAUUUCAUACCUCAAUUU